rnacentral:rRNA from 1 species
AUCAUGGCUCAGGAUAAACGCUGGCGGCGCACAUAAGACAUGCAAGUCGAACGGACAGAAACCUUAGUUUACUAUUGGAGCGGUUAGUGGCGGACUGGUGAGUAACACGUAAGCAACCUGCCUAUCAGAGGGGAACAACAGUUAGAAAUGACUGCUAAUACCGCAUAUGCCAUAAUCACCACAUGGUGAUAGUGGGAAAGGAGCAAUCCGCUGAUAGAUGGGCUUGCGUCUGAUUAGAUAGUUGGUGGGGUAACGGCCUACCAAGUCGACGAUCAGUAGCCGGACUGAGAGGUUGAACGGCCACAUUGGGACUGAGAUACGGCCCAGACUCCUACGGGAGGCAGCAGUCGGGAAUAUUGCGCAAUGGAGGAAACUCUGACGCAGUGACGCCGCGUGCAGGAAGAAGGUUUUCGGAUUGUAAACUGCUUUAGACAGGGAAGAUACAAGACAGUACCUGUAGAAUAAGCUCCGGCUAACUACGUG